UAUUAUGGAUGUGCAGCAUUCAGAAGAGCAUGAAUGCUAGAAGUGUGAGGCAGAACCAUAUAUGUUGUUAGGAUCAAGGAGGAGGUGAGAGUAAGGCUAUGCCAUUGUUGUACUUUCCGCAAGAUUAAGGUGGAGGUGAGGGUAAUUUAAUUAGUAUAUCUUUAAGUUGUUCUGUUUUCGCAUCUUUGAUGAAGCUUUUAUUUUUUCUAUUUUUGAUGAUCCUACUAGUGCCUCACCAACUAGGGAGUCAAACUUUUAAUAUUUUUGAUGAUCCAAAACUUAUAGAGAUGAAAAGAAAAGCAAAUACACAAGUCUGAAGGAAAUGGCUACACUUUUAAGGUAAAACACUUUUGAAGUUCAAGCAAGGAAUUAUGAGUGACCCUUUUUGAUGCUUUGUCAAAUUGGGUUGAUGAUGUAAUUGGUUUGGAGUUGAAUGUUCAUAAGGAAGAAUUUGGUUAUUGGUUCUUGAUUUUUGCAGGUUGUUCAUCUGCAGGAAGUAAUACAAUGGAGACAUUAAGAAAAGGAAAACAAGUACAUGUGUGUCACUGUUCAAGUCUCUUAAUUAUGACCAAAUAGGUUCUUUCAUUUUGUGCUUAUAAGUAAAAGUGAAUGAUACUUCUACAUUUGUGUUUUUUUUUGUUGACAUAAACACAUUUGUGUAUUGUUAAGAACAUGUUAUAUAUGUACAUCAUAUACAGUAUAUGAUUAUUGUUUGAUAUUCUUAACCAAUUUUUGGAUUAGUAUAAAUUGGUUGAUAAUGCUUGUAAUUGGA